GAGAAAACAAUUACAAAAAGUUGAGGAAAUGAAAAAGCUAGAUGUAUUAGCACAUGUUUAGCUUUUCUGUUAUUGAUUUAGUCAUUAGUUUGUUUCUCCAUUAUUUGCAGUUUGUUCUAUUAUCUAUGGCAAGGUAUUUAUUUGUUAAGAUUGCUCCUAUAAUAAUGGAAACUUGAUGUAAUAUAAAUUGGGUCUUCAUUUUAAUAGAAUCUCAGAUUGCAUUCUCAAACUCUUUAUGGUAGCAGAGCUCUUGCUGCUCUAACGAGUUUGAUCGUCUUCUUCUCAUUUUCCUGCUACACUCAACAACAAUAAAAAAACAGAGGCAAAAAUGACCUCUACAACAUGGCCUUCCCUUAUCAACGCUGAUAACACAAAUUCAAAUAAUCAAAUCAUUCAAUUCAACCCAACAUCUCAGUUACCUAUCAAACUACAAGGCAGCUCAAAUUUCUCCACUUGGAAAAUGCAACUGACAUUACUUCUAGAAGGUCAUGAAUUAUCUGGGCAUCUUGAUGGCUCUACGCCCUGCCCAUCACAAACAAUCACUCAGUUAGACAAAACUGAAAUCAACCCAGCUUACCGUCUUUGGGUUCAUCAAGAUCGACUAAUUCACCAGGCUAUGAUGGCCUCCAUCGACAGCACCAUAGUUUCCACCGUUGCUAGUGCCUCUAAUGUAGAAAAAGCAUGGUCUCUUCUGCACACCACCUAUGCAAACAAAAGUCACACACGGAUUUACAGCUUAUGAGAUUAACUUGGUCGAAUUAACAAGGAAGACAAGAGUGUUGUUGAAUAUCUUCAUCAAAUUCGAACCAUUGCAGACGAACUAGCUGUUGCAGGCCCACUAGUGGUUGAAGCAGAAUUAACUAUCAAAAUUCUCAAUGGGCUUGGUUUCGAUUUUCGUGAAGUGGCAGCAUCAAUCCGCAAAUGAAGCAUUCUGAUAGAAUAUCCUGAGUUGUAUGAAAAGCUACUAGACCAUGAAAUCUUUCUGCAGCAUCAAGGCCGACAAAAUUCUACGUCAAUAACAGCUGUAGUUGCAACCAAAAUCAACACUAACAUGCAGGCUUCUCGCUUAUAUCGUAAUUCACGUCGAUUUUCCAACAACAAAUGCACUCAACAAUCAUAAUGGCGACAACAAAAUCCCAAUAUUUUCAAUAAUGGUAUUCAAUGUCAGCUAUGCAAUUGGCCAGGUCAUGUAACAUUAGUAUGUCGGUCCAAGUCUCAUAAUCAUCUUGAAACAAAAAGCAAAGUAUAUUGCUGGGUACCAAACAUCUGAAAAUCCAUGGAUCCUCGACACUGGCGCAAUGCAUCAUAUCACGACUGAGCUGCAGAAUAUGCCUGAGUACAAUGGCAGUGAAGAAGUAAGAAUGGGAGAUGGACCUAACUACAGGGCAAUCGCUGGUGCACGGCCGGAAUAGACACGAGUUGUAUGAGUGGCCUAUCACUUCUUCACCAACUCCUCCACAAAGUCAUAUGGCCUCUCACAACACCACCAUUGAAAUAUGGCAUCGCAGACUAGGACAUCCUCAUGCUAGAAUUUUAUAAUUUAUUUUACGUAAUUUCUCUUUUUCUCUUCUUAUAAAAGACAAAUUUCCUUUUUGUAAUUCUUGUGUAACAAAUAAAUCGCAUCGUCUUCCAUUUUCUA